rnacentral:lncRNA from 1 species
AACCGCGGCCCCGGGCCCCUCCCCACCCGGCGUGCGGACCCGCAGGCUCCCGGAGAGCGGUCGGGGUUACCCGGGAGCGGGGUUCACACCCCACCCCACCCGCCUGACACCCGGCUUUUCUCGGGUGCGCCGAGGGGUGCGCAGUGGGGCGGCGGUAAGUGCGGGCGCAGGAGCCGCAGCCCCGCGCCGCCCCAAACGCGGACUUGCUGGGACUGCGGAAAUCAACGGGGGCGGAAAUCGCGGGCGAGGCUUCCACGUGCCCCUGCGUUGCCGCCGUAGCACGGCUGGUAGCGGAGGGCCGGGGGCGUCCGUGGUGGCGUCCCCCUUCCGAGGGCCCCAGGAUGGCGCGACCUCGGCCCCCGGCCGCAAGAGGGGUGAAUGCUGGGUAGGGAGCCGCCUCCUUUCUGGCUCUAGGUUCUGAGGACGAAGUGACUCCCAAAGUCACUCCAGCGCCUUGAAUGCUGACGUCAGCUCCACCUCUCCCCGUAAUCAGAAAAUCAGGGUUACCCAGAGGAAGAAGGGCCUCUGGAAAGAGACAAAAAAGCGUGCCACCCCCACCCAAGCCACCCCCUUUAUCUUUGUUUCGGAUGGCUCUCCAUCCAUAAUGCCGGCCAACCGUAGGUCGUCCUGCUCACGCGACCCGAGAAGUACUUUGGAUGAAGCUAAAGCAUCUCUUUGGGUUUUUAAGUCCAGAUGCACAAAGUGGCUACUCUUCGGGCGACCAGAGAUCACAAAAUGCCCUGCCUCAUAUUCUUCCUCUGUUCCGCUUUCACGGAGAGCAAGCCCGCAAAAAAACAGCGUUGGAAUAGCCCGUUGGGAAGAUCUGCAUCUGUUCUCGCGGUGUUCCUAUUGCUCGAGAUAUUUUGGAACUCCUUCUAAACGUUUUUGAAAGUUGAGGGCCCCUUGCGAGCUGUGAAGAGCAGAAUUACCCAUGUCACCACGGAAUAUUUGUGCAAGUACCGAGCAAAACCGUCCGCACCAAAGAGGCACAUAAAAGAUCCCGUGAAGGGGCGCCUGGGUGGCUCAGUCGGUUGAACGGCUGACUUCGGCUCAGGUCACGAUCUCGCAGUCCGUGAGUUCAAGCCCCGCGUCGGGCUCUGUGCUGACAGCUCAGAGCCUGGAGCCUGUUUCCGAUUCUGUGUCUCCCUCUCUCUGUGACCCUCCCCCGUUCAUGCUCUGUCUCUCUCUGUCUCAAAAAUAAAUAAAAUGUUAAAAAAAAAAAAAAUUAAAAA